AUCCUAUGAGCCUCCCUGUGAAGCUUAAUCACCCAGUGAGUCUUCUGACCCCGUCUAAGUUAAAGUCUGUGCAUUGCUCCAAGCAAAGUAUGUACCCGGGCAAGAAAAGGACAAAAGUCUCUGCAAUGGCCAUAGUGAUCAUGGUAGAGAGUAUGCCAUUUCUCCUCUCCCAAGUGUCAUCCUACUUCCUCGGGCAACAUGGUGACUUCGAC